GCCGGGUGUGGUGGCGCACGCCUGUGAUCCCAGAGGCUCGGGAGGCCGUGGCAGGAGGAUCACAAGUUCAAAGGCAGCCUCAGCAGCUUAGGGAGGCCCUAAGAAACUUUGUGAGAUCCUGUUUCAA
rnacentral:sRNA from 1 species